GACGAACGCUGGCGGCGUGCCUAAUACAUGCAAGUCGAACGCAGUGGGGACGGGUGAGUAACACGUGGGUAACCUCCCAUCAGAGGGGAAAACACUUGGAAACAGGUGCAAAACCGAUACUGAUGGAUGGACGCGCGGUGAAUUAGCUAGUUUGUGAGGUAACGGCUCACCAAGGCCAAGAUGCAUAGCGGACCUGAGAGGGUGUGUGGCCACACUGGGACUGCAACACGGCCCAGACUCCGACGGGAGGCAGCAGUAGGGAAUCUUCGGCAAUGGACGAAAGUCUGACCGGGCAACGCCGCGGGAGGGAAGAAGGUUUUCGGGGCGUAAAACUCUGUUGUUAGAGAAGCGGUAUCUAACCAGAAAGCCACGGCUAACUACGUGCCAGCAGCCGCGGUAAUAC
rnacentral:rRNA from 1 species